GAGCUGAUGCAGGAUCCACCUUGCACAGCCCUGCUCUCCAUCCCAUGGCCCCAGGUUAAAAAAAAUGCAAGCUAAAUUGUAACCAUACAGAGCAAGGAAGGUGCUGCAGAACAAACAAGUCCGAGCGAGGUUAGCAUCCGCAGAGGGAGAGUGUUUCACUGAACACAUCCACGCUUCCAAAACACCUACACCAUAUUCUGUCCUAAUGUAAGAUUUCCAUUUGGGUUCGGAUCAGCAUCUGUAUAUUUCCAGUGAUCUGAUUAAAGAUGGUGGGGCUCAUCCAGCUCCAGCACUGCAGUGCUGGGGGAAGCUCAGGUCCCCACAGAGGAUCCUUGAGCUCUCUAACCCUGUUUUCUAAGGAAAUAUAAGGCAGGGUUCCAUUUAUUUAUUUCCAUAUCCCAGAUAUUGUCUUGGGAGAAGGGGAUUGUUUUCCAGAGCUCGUGUUGGUGCUGCUGAGCCUUUCCUAGGGAUCAGCCAAAACUUCCAGCUGGGCUCAUCAACUCUUCCUGGGCUACCUGAAAUGUUUAUCAGUCCUUGUGCCAAUCAGAGAAGUAGGGCCUGCAUCACUUCCAAUAACUCAGCCUUCACCUGAAGAUCAGUAUAACAUCUAAAUCUGUGUUUCAACACAGAGUUAGUGUGACCUGCUCCGCUCAGCUCUCUUAUCACUUGGGGCAUUUCAUGUUGCAGCCAUGUCUGUCCAAGUCUGAGAGAUAAAGUUUAAUCAAACGAAUGAUUUGUUAUUCUCCAGCAGGGAUUAACAAAGGUGUUUAAAACACUGUGUUCAUAUUCACCAUGAGGAUAAAGGGGAUUUUGGAACAGUGAUAUCACUGGGUUUCAGUGUGACCUGUAUGGUGUUAAAAGCAGGGGAAGCUGUGAUGAACCAUGCUGGGCAGUGACGUUCACAUGUGUACAACUAAAGUCCUUAAAGCAGAUGAGUAAUUUGGACUCAAUUUUUAUUUAAAUCAAGUCUCUGUUACAUGCAUCUAUGCCCACGCCUUGAAAUUCUCUCCAGUCAUGCAUUUGGCGUAGGUGGGAAUACCUCCUUCACAGGUAAACUUAGUGUUCCUUUCAUAGAGAAGGCCGUUACCAUUGACUUCCCUCUGUUAAGAAAAAAAAAGAGGAUUUUUUUUCAUAACAAUUUAACUUUGAGCAGUAUUUAUUUAUUCAAGAAGUUUUCCUGACAGUGUGUAAAAGAAGGAUCAUUUAGAAAAGAAAAAAAGGUUCAGUAAUGUAAGUCCUCAUUUGGGACUGCGUCUCAAAUUAUAUCUUUUUGAUUCUGACUUUCUGCCCAGGUUCCAGUGGAAACUUUUUUUCACUUAAAAAGCAAAUUUCUUUCUUUGAAGGCAACCAAUCUAGCAGUGUUUUUUUUUUUUUUUUCUUGUUUCUAAACUGCAGAGAAACUCUCAUGGCAGUGGUAUAAAGUUGGCCUGUGGCCUCAUGGGCCGUAAGGUGGGCUUGAUGGUGCUGUGUCAGUGCUUGUGUCAGUGCCUAGCCAUUGUUUUGUUCCCCCUUUGUCCACCGAAGCUCUGUCUUCAAUCCUGUCAUUUUUGGAGGUGUUUGCAGGCAUGGUUAUGUCUUUCCUCUUCCUGAGUUAAUGAUGGUACAGGCUGUCCAGAGAGCUGGUGGAGUCACCAUCCCUGGAGGUGUCCAGGAACCAUGAUUCUAUUGGCUCAGAAUGAUGCUUGUGCCUUUUGGGUCCCAGCAAAUAUAGAAUUUUAUGAGUCUGUAUAGGAAUUGUUGAAUCACAGCCUGAACCUCUGAUUGACCACCUGAGGCGAGUGCUGAGUCAGCCGCAGGGGCACAGGUGAACUCAAUUCUCCAAGACCCCAUUUAAGGGCUGACUCCCAAGGAGGAAGGCUCUCUAUCUGGAGAUCACCCUUCUUGGAGCCCUUCUUUAAGCCCAGGACAAGGGUAAGCUCUUUAUUUCAUUACUCCUUUGUAAAUGCGAUAAUCUCUCUGGUCCUGUACCUAUUUACCUUCCAAUCUGUAUACCUGUUUGCCAUACAGAGACCCUAUGCUUACAUUCCUCCUUUAAUGCUUAAGAGAUAAAAGCUCCCAUUCAGGCUGCUUACCUGGGUGUCUCACAUAAUCAUUAAAGUGGUUUCAGAGGCCAAGGAAGCAAGAAGUAAUUGCUGCAGGGCUGCCAGACCUUGUCUGCACUGAGUGUGCAGGUGCCCACUGUGGGGGGCUGUGGGGAACAGCCCAUCCACACCCCACCUCCGCAGCCAAGGCAAAUAAUCAAGAAGGAAGGAAUGAAUAUCUUUGCUAUUGCUUUUCAUUAUGUCUUUUUGAAGAUGUGAUGCACUAAGAUUUCCUGUGAUUACAUGUAAUAGCUGGAGGGGGGAAGAAGGGAAGACAGUAAAUGAAAGUCAUACAAUUAAUUCACUUAAAUCUGUCACUAAGGCUUCAGUGAGCCAAUCUGUAAAUAACUCUACUGCUAACGUAACUUUGUUUGCAUAACUCAGCUCAAACCCCUCAGAGAUGAGGGACCCAGUGCUUUUCCCCUCACUUCCUGCACAUGAAAUGCUAUCUGGGACAGCAAUAGUCUGUAAAUCUGACUCUGUGGCAAUGCACCAGGUUUGAGUGGAUGAAAAAAAGCUCCACAUGCCAGCACGCAUGCCUAAAAUUAGCACCAAAGACAUUGGAUUCUCGAGUGCUUUAUUCCUUUCUUUUCCUCUCACUAAAGGGCUGGGUUUUUGGCGUGCUGCUGAGGACCAGUUCAUAAUAUUAGUCUGAGGUUACUGUGCCAUUCAACCAAACCAGAGUUGAGCACCUUUUGUUCAUGAGAUGAAUGACACCAGCUCCUCCCCUCCCAGCACACCAAAUCAAAUUAACCUACUGGGGUAACUGGACUGGGCUGCUCAGGUGCUGGUGGUCUCUGAGCUUUGCAAUAAUCAUCUGCAGAUGGCAGGAAAAUGCAAGCCUGAGAAGCAUAAAGUGGCUGAAAGGCAUCUGUCCAAGAGUAAUUGAGGCUCCAGGACCCCAUUUAUAGCAUGGGGAUGUAAUGUUCCAGUGAGCCCCAUCCCAUCAGGUGCAGAGUGUGGGUGCUGCCUGCAUCAUCUGCCAGUGGGACAUGCUGGGAGGAGCUGGGAACUGCACAGGAGCAAAGCAAGAAUGUUGCAUGCCCAGGAGUGCAGCAAUGCACUGUUGACAGUGAGCAUCACCUGAUGGGACAUCAUAUAGGGGAAGGUUGAGCAAAGAGGUGACUUUGGGGUCAAGGAAAAUGAGAUCCAGAGAAUAGAAUAAACUGAAGAAUAGAAGCAAAAUGCCACUGACUUUUUGUAACCCAAUCCAAAGGGCUCCAACAGCAAUAACAAGAUUUCAAAAGAAAAAAUCAUUGUAGGCUGCACAGGUACUGGAGGAACACCCAGAGCAAAUUCUCUCUUGUACUUAGCCCAUGGAAAAUAUUAGUAAUGCCUUGUGUCCCAGGAGACUGAACUGACCCUGACUGGCCCAGCCUGUCUGGAGGCUUUUCUGUGAGCCUGACCUAUUAAAUAUUCUCUCUUUUAUUUCACAACAAACACUUCCCUCCCUCCUCUCUAAUGAGAUGUUUGGCUGAGCAGCGUUUGAAGAACAGAGAAAUUCCAUGAUAUCAUUUGCAGGUGGGCCAGGCAGAGGUAUCUUUACUGUCAGGUUUUCAUUUUAUUAGAUAUCACCAGAAAAAAAAAUAGCUUUGAAAACAAACUCUAGCUGAACUCCAGCCCAACAGGAGCAAAAUUUCACAUAGCCAUCUAUUCUGGUAGAUUAGCGGCCUUUAGAAGAGGAAGCCAAAGGAUGUGUUUUCUUCAGAGAGCAUUUUAAAAAUCUCUAAAUCUCUUAGAUUUUUUUUCAAUCCCAGAAUAACUUUGGAAAUACAAGAGUGCUUUUCUUCUUUAAUCUUGUCAACAAUUUCAAGCAGAGAUUUGUUCUGGGGAAAACUGCAACUCUGCCUUAGGUUCUGAUAAGUGUAGAAGAGUUUGUCCUGCUAAUAUAUUCUUCCGAAUUCAGAUCAACCAUGGAAAAACAGAGGGUGAUGAAACACUGAAACAGGUUGCCCAAGGAGGCUGUGGAUGCCCCAUCCCUGAGGGCAUUCAAGGCCAGGCUGGAUGUGGCUCUGGGCAGACUGGUCUGGUGUUUGGUGACCCUGCACACAGCAGGGGGUUGAAACUGGAUGAUCAUUGUGGUCCUUUUCAACCCAGGCCAUUCUAUGAAACCCCGUAAGUUCCAUCAGACAGAUGAGAAACCUGCACCUCCAGAGGAGGAGGCAUUGAUUCCCAUAUUUCCACAGUCUUAAUACAAGAUUAGUCUUAACAUUUCUCAUCAUUUAUACCAUGAUGCUUUUAAGGAUUGUGUCUUUUCUAUUCAAAAAGUCAAUAUUAUAGAGGUUUUCCUGCAUCCCAAAGAAAUCAGACAAAAAAAAGUUUUAGCAACAGCAGCAUUCAUUGCAAGGUGAUUUCUGCUGAUAACACAGUGGUAAACUGCUUUUAUUAUAAAAUCUAUUUCCAGGGGUUGGCUUUCCAUAGGGAAAAGUUACUCUAUGCCUGAAUGCAUUAAGUCCUGAGUGUCAUAUUCAGUCCCUGCAAGGACAGAGGAUGAUCAGUAUUUUAGGAAAUGUAAAGUCUAUUUCAACUUAGGAGAAAUGUGUUUUGAGUGGUGUGUUUCUGAGUUAAUGUACGGUGAGGAUGCAGACUAAAAGGCCUCCAGGCAGCUUCAAAUUGUUAUUAAAGGGAGGAAAAUAUAUGGAGGGAAAAAUCUAUCAUCUUCAUUUUCCAUGUGAUUUCAAAGAAAAAAGAAACCACUUUGAGGGAAAGCUCUGACAAAAAGAUCGCCUCUAAUGCCAUAAGUUAUGGUUCUAUAAAUCAGCCAGAUGAUAUAGGGCUGGCACCAGGCAAAUAUAUCUUCUAGCAUCAAGAACUAUAGGGGAGAUUCUCUCAUUCAAGAGUUGUUCAUAAUUCACUAUAAUUGGUGGGAAAGUGAGGGCUGUGACAAUUUAAUUCAUUCACAACUGGCAAUGUUAUUAUUGCAGAACAAAAAUGCCGUGUUAGAUGAAAACCAUCUGGUGUCAACAAAAACCAUCCCUGUGGUCAAGCAACAGCUUGGGACAAGUGGAUGUUGUUUGAAAAGUCACUGGGCCAGAAGCAGGGUUGAUUCCAGCCUCUGAAACGGGCACGAAUUCUUCUCUCGUAAUAAGAAAGGUGCCACCCAAACGUGCAGAGUCCCACUUGCCUCAGGUUAAGGUAUCUUUGUAUUUUUUUCUGUUUUCUGAGGGUUUGGAGGACUUGGUCAUCUGCAGACCCUGGAGGUGGGCAAUCAGGGCUGGGCGAAGGAUUCCUGAAGCUCCAAGGGCAAAAACGCUCCCGGUUUAAACAGCUUUGGGUGGACAAAGUGUUGUCAGUUGGAGGAGAGCUUUCAGCAGUGCUGAACCAUGUGGCCCCCUAUUAACCCUCAGGGUAUUUCUCUGUAGGGAGAGAAGGCAAACCCCAGGUUGGUGCAGCCCCAAGUGCCCAGCCAAGACAGAAGAGCUUUCUUCUCACUGCUUUGAAUGCUGCUGUGGAGUACUGUGAUGUUUCCUGGGAGUGGCUCUCAGGAGACCCCAAGCUUUAAAUCCCCCGUUGCCUCCAUCUCUGCCAAAGCCCCCGUGUGCUCCUGGGCUUUUUUGCUCAGCUGAGUUUUCACAAAGGUUUGGCUCAAUUCCCUGCAAACCAGCCUUCCCCCAGGCAUCCACCAGGCCUUAGGGAGAGGCUCUGCUUCGUUUCUUCACACCACGCCUUUUAAUCUACAGCCAGAGCAGGAACCAAAGUGGAAAAACACAGCAAUUGCACAGGGGCCGCUGCAGCAGGUGCCUGCGGGAGCCUGUUCCUAUGAGCCCUCGGGCACUGGGAUUUGCAGAUUUAGGCAAUUCUGGGCUCUUGGAUGCUCUUUGUGGAGAAGUUUGUGAACGUGGGAGUGUUUGUGUGAACUCCAACCCUUCCUCAGAGCUGGGCUGUCAGUCAGCAGCGCUGGCAUCAAAUGUGCAUCCCCACAUCAAAGCCCUGCUGACUUCCGAUGAAGGGAAACAAGGGAAAACAGAUUCUUGGUGCGUGUUGUUUAUUUUAACGUGUUUUUAGUGUUUGAUUGAUUUCUUUUCCAGCAGCAAGCCUGAGGGGGGGAUGGUUUGCUUUAUCAGGAAAUGAGGAUAAACUUACCCAAGCAAGCUCAGGCUAUGCAGGCAGGUGCUGUCUCCAUGCUAACUGUCCCCAAGCAAAGGCUGAGGCUGGGGUCAAGCCCUAGGGCUGCACUCUGCUGCCAUCACAGAGACAUAGAAUACCCUGAGUGGAAAGGGAGCCAUAAGGAUCACAAAGUCCAACCCCUGGCUCCAUACAGAACCAGCCAAAGCUCAGACCCUAUCUGAGAGCAGUGUCCAAAAGCUUCCUGAGCUCCAGCAGCUCAGUGCCGUGACCACUGACCUGUUCCACACCUACUGCCCUCCCUCUGAAGAGCCCUUUCCCAGUAGCCAACCUGAGACCUCCCUACGCAGCUCCACGCCAUUCCCUCAGGUCCCAUCAUUGCCACCAGAGAGCAGAGAUCAGUGCUGCCCCACAUUUUGAAAAGCACAGCCUAUACCCUGCCUUUAUGGAGAAAGAAGGCAGAGCUGCUUGCUCUGUGUGUUUGAAACUGGAGCAUUACUGAAUGGCUCACAGAGCAUCUGCAGUCCCUCCACGCUGUUACAGCUCCUCUUUGUUCAUGAACCAUUUACACAUCACUUCUGAUUCCUGUAGACAUUUACAACCAUUAGUUCCAAUAUAAAAUAAUCAGCUUCCGUGAUCCCACAAUGGGGCUGUCCUGUACAAUGCAGGGCAAAAACUGAAAUGUGAGGGCAUUAUAGCAGUGCCAGCCCUUUCUGAAUAGCAGGAGGAAAACAACCCAGAGGCUCUAUAUCUGAUUUCCCUUCCAUGAGGAUCCAGGUGCAUAUUUUCUGCACAUCUCAGUGUCCCAGCAGCAUUACUCACUGCUCCUGUUGGCAUCACAGGCAGCUGAGAGCAGUGGCUCCCAUGCCCUUGUCGCUCAGCUGCUGUCGAGGCUCAGAGUCACAGUUAAGCACAGAGCCUCCAAUUAGUCACAAAAAGUGAAACAGUCUUUCAGGAGAAUUAAGUUGGUGCAAAGGAGUGAAUCACAGCAGAGAUAAUAUCCAGGGCAACUUUAACUGAAAAGAGAUAGUGGAGGAGAGUAAAUCACUCCCUGAGCACAGCCAGGCUGAAUUGAUCACAGCUGCUAUACGAUGCAGGGUGGCAAUAACAACUAUUCCAGGGCUGUGCUCUGUGCCUGAUGGAGAAAAUCUGGGGCAGGGCGCUGGGCAGGAAGGGAGCUGCUGGAACCAAGGAACACAGCCAUGUGGAGGAGGCCAGAGAGGUGUCCUCACCCCGAGGGAACCCCACUUCUCAUCUCUCAGGUUUCAUUCUCAGAGGACAUCAGCCCUGGCACAUGGCAAUCCACCCAAGCUCAAAGCUACGUUCUUUUCUUAUAAGUGCUUAGGAAAGAGGGUCUUCAGUCAAUAGUGAUAAAGUUGGAGUGUUUUGUGUGUGUGUAUAUACACAAACCUCAAUGCUGGCAUCAGUUAUUUAUCUUACAGAAUUCACAGAAUCACAGAAUAUCCUAAGCUAGAAGGGACCCAUAAGGAUCAUUGAGUCCAACUCCUUGAAGAGUGCAUUAAAUUCAAAAGAUGCCCAUUCUGCCAGCCCUUUUGCUUUCCUUUUUUCCCAUGGAUUAUGUUGAUAAGGACUACAGAGCCUGAAUUCUACAUUUGGAGAGAGGCUUUCCCAAAGAUCUUAGAGGUGGGAAAAAGAGAAUAAGAAGUGGCUGGAGGGUGAAGAGUUAAGGAACCCGUAGCUUGAGCUGCUCUCGAGGGAGACAGGAAAGCUGUAGAGAUUUGGCACUACAUGCAGAUCCCAAAAAUUAGAUCAUAGCACAUAAUUAUCCUCCAAACUGGUCCCGGUGCCAAAAUCUUAAUAUCUGGGAUUGUUAUAAUUUGAAGUCAUGUAGGAAAUCCAGAGUUCCAAUCAAUUGCAUUCCCAUGCCCAGUCGCUCCCUGUCCUUGCCCGUUUUACAAUAAAACAUACCUGGCAUUGUGUGCAGAGUGAGUAACGAUUCCUGUGCAGAAAGGGAAGAGAGAGAAACACGGAGAACUCUCCCAGGCACUGCAGGCAGCGGGCAGGCAGUGCUGGCACGAUGCGGCCGUGACUCAGCCCUGCGUUCCUCUGCCAGUGGCCGCUGCCUCUUCCACCCCAUCCUGCUCCUUUCGGGACACAGUUUGCAACGUGCAUGCAAAAUCUGCUGCAGUUCUUAUUAGCUCAGCUUGUGUCUUUCUGUCAGGAUGCACCCGGCUCUUCUAAAAUCUCAGCACUUGCACAGGGCUGAAUUCAGUGCAGCCGUUCCUAAAAAAAAAAGGUCGCUGCACAAUGUCCCACAGACUCUCAGGAAUCCAACCAGAAGAGAACGUGAACUUUGCAUCACAGUGCCAGGGGGACAACAAUGCUUUCUUUGGGCAAUAAGUGGGAGCAGGAUGGGGUCCAUCACCCCUGGGAUGGCACAGGGAGCAGGCACAAGGCUUGUUCCAGCACUAAGCACUACACUUCCCUACAUGCACGCACACAGUUCGGCAUGCCACCACCCCAAUGAGCAGCUCUGCAGGCUGGUGGCACCAAACCAGCUUUUCUAUAGCAGCGAGCUGGGGGUGGAAGAUGUUCUGCAGGCAGAGGUGCUGUUAUCUGUGAAUUGGGUGCUGCUAGGAAUAGGAAGCUCAGCCAAGGACGAGCUACCAGAGCUUCUAGUGAGGAAAACAGCAGUGCAGGGGCAGCUGAGCCUGCAGUGAUGAAGGGCAGGACAUGCCUUGCGAUCUGGGCUUUUUUUUUCCCACUUCCUGUUUAUAGGUUGACUGCAUUUCCCCAGCGUUUGAACUUCUCCGUCACGCUGUUUCUCUGCUGCUGCUGACACUGAGUGAGAAUUAAUAAGCUUCCUCUGAGCAAAUAUCUUUAUUUAAACAAGCUGCUGCCCUGCCAGCAGCCCGCUGGUGAAUGGCAUUUUGCAGCAGGCAGGAUGUGGGCAGAGCUCCCCAGCAGCACCAGCAAUGAUCCCAGGUGCUCUCAGCAUUGCAAUAGAAGCACCUGUGCUGAAGGAGUAUUUGCAGGGUUGCUUUCUUUUUUUUCCUCCUUUCCAUCGAAGGAGGCUGAACAUGACUGAGGAUCUGGCUCCAGUCUCUGGUACUACACAGUUGACCUCAAGCCUGGUGAAUUCUUCCAAAAACCCGGCCUGCCUUGCCCCCCAGCCCCAGUCUUCCAACUGUCGUGAGCAGUGGAGCAAGGAGGUGGCAGCUGUGUUUUUGGCUUUUCCUGCAUUGAAUUAUACUGCAGUGAUCUCCAAACAAGACAUUUCUCAAUCAGACGUGAAAUGUUUGUUUUCCUGUUCAAAAAAUUAAUCUGCUGCCCGUGGUAUGCAUGGCAUCUUGCAUAUUUCUCUCCCUACUCACUGUCAAGUGACUUGAUAAUUCCAACAGAAACUGCCACAAAAGCUGGAAGUCAGAUGGUCUGCAACUUAAUUAAUCAAUCAGUUUACUAUAUUAGCAAACUUAAAGGAAUUCUGAUGCGGACCCAAUGCUUAAAUCUGCUGCGACAUCUGCAGUCAAUCAUGCUUACAUUACCCAUUAACAAAUUACAUCUGUGCUAAGCAAGAUACCCUGUGGUUCCACCAUGCAGAGAGCUGGAGGACCACGGGCACCAGGACGAGCAAGGCACAAAGGAGAGAGGUUACAGCAGAACAGGUUUGUCCCAUGUUUGUUCCAGCUGUGUGGGCUCAAUGUAUGCUGAAGGAUCAGCUCAGGGGACAGCCUUGUGAUAGAAUAUAAAGGUUAUGUGAGCAGAUAGUCUUUCUGUUGUAAGGGCUGAUGGGUUUGCCCGGUACCGACCACAGGGCUGGCUUAGGUGCUAUGCUGCUGCCUCUUGAAGGUGGUCUGGGGGCAGCUGGGACAAUUUGGGUACCCCGUCAAUGACACAUCUCAGGGUGAUAGGUGGGGCGUGGCCCUGCUAUUGCCAGGAGCCACAUCCCACAGAUGCAUGGAGCCUUGAAGCAAGGAGAUAACACCAGUGCUGCUAUAAUUAUACCUAGGAUCUAGAUGCAGUUCUCUUCAAAAGCAUGCCUGCUCUGUUCCACGUAUGUGAACAGGUGUUUUAUUUCCUCCAUUCAUUUCCAAGAACUGCUUCACUCAAAUGCUGAGCUGAGUGGUGCUCCAGUUUUUUUUUUUGCUGAGUGGCUUCCAACCCUGGAGUGGUUCGAUCCCGCUGUGUGCUUGUCCUCCCUCCAUGCUCACAAACCGUCAGCAGGGCAGCUGCUUUGCAAGCAGCAUUAAAGAUCUGUUGCCACCAGUGAGUUUGAAUGCUGUGGAAGGACAGCCAGGGCUCACGGAACACCAUGUACCAUCACCUGUGCAUGACUCUCUUGCUUUUAUAUUUUGCAAGCCUUCAUCUUUGGGUGAAUUGCUUUCCUAUGUUUUUAGUUUUUACUGCUGAAUGGUGAAGCAAGAUGACAGCAUCAGCAGAAGAGCUGUUAUCAAGUAUCACUGCCUGCAUCCUGUGGUUGUGCCGUAAUGGACCAUGGGCAGCCUGGCUCCAGCCAAGUGCACAGCUCAGGCUCUGUGCAGUACUGCACAUCCUAAUUCAGCAUCAAACCUCUGAAUUCCCAUACGUGUGCCAUGAACAAGAGGAGUCUCCAGGAGGAAAAAAAAAAAAGCAAAGAAUGGGGGAAAAAAUGAGAAGGAAGGUCACAAAGCAGGAGCCCAGGUUGGCUUAGUCCCUGGUGAGUUGCGGACCUUGUGUGUGCAGCCCUGCCUGCAGAAUGCAAAUUGGGCAAGGUGAUUUUUCUGUUAUGGGUGACAGGAAAAGCCUGGCUUCUGAGUGCUGGGAAUCCUCUGGCAAGGAUUAAACUUUUAAAUGUUCUCACGUGAGAAAUAUUGUGUGCUUUGGAUGUAAUGCAAGUAAUUGGGUGCAACCCUGUAAGAACAAAGAGCAGCCAGCUGGUACCUCUGUCAGCACAAGCACACAGAAGCAAAUUUGGUGAACUUGCUAUGAUUUGGAUUCUAUCUUUUAUAUCUAACCCCAGAUUAAGUUAUAUUUUCAUGAUAGGAUUAGCAGUUUAGCCCUUUAUUCUCCUAUCGUUCAAUCUUCCAAAGCUGCUCCGUUCCUGACCCUGUGCACCUCUUCUUUGUUCAAUACAGAUUAUGCUUUGGACUAGAGGCCAGGAUUUUCCCAUUGACAUGGACAAAUUGGUCUACUUUAUUGCAUUCUGGAGAUUUGAUCCUCCUCUGCAGUCUGCUGGGCAACUUCCAAAGGAUAGAAUUGGAUUCCUCACCAUAAAGUUUCUCCUUCCAAGAUGGAAAGGGCUUUUAUGGCAAAGUAUAAAAUCAAAAAACAAGCUGUCACUCGCAUUUGCUGCCCUGCUCUUUCUGUGCACUGUAAGAAGCACUCUCAGGGUUUUGAAGCCUGCUGUAUUAAGUGUGAGAUGGUGAAAAGGUCAUGACAGAAGGGCUGGUGAGAUUGAAAUCGAGUGCAGGAGCAUUCUGCAAGGAGGUGACUUGCCUGCUCCAAAUGCCCUGAGAAGUGAAGGCGAGAGCCUUAGCACAGCAUUGUGCUACCUGUGUCUUCUCCAUCCCUGCUACCUGCAUCCCUCCUUGCACAACCAGACCGUGGCUUUCAGGGUGACUGAUGUCCCCAUCAAGGAACAGUUUGUGACAAAGGAAUACAUCUUCCAUGAGGAGGAUGACCAGGAAUUGGACAACAUGAACUGAAGAAAACAUCUCCUGCCUCAGCAAUGGGCUCCCAAACCAAAACAGACAUUACUGCCUGGAAGUAAUUCGGAGGAACUCUACCAGCAAGUGUGAAAUGAAUGCAAAUGUGCAGCUUCUUUAGACUUAAUUGUAGAAGAGCAUCUGUUUACAUUUCAUUUCAGUACUACAGUGAACCCUCAUCUAUUGGGAAGUUUGCAGCCUGCAAAGAUAGCAUGUUGUUGAGUGGUUUUGAAAAGAAUAUACCAUCAUUCACCAGGUUCAUGCUGCUUGCCUCUAUUCAGCCACUCACCAGAGCCACCCUAUCGAAACUACAACUGUGGAUGUAAGCAUUUCUGAGAGCUGUAAUUGAACUCCCCAUCACAACCUUUACAGCAAUCAUUUUGAUUACUCUUAGCUUAGCAAUUAUGGCUGAGUGACACAUUUUCAGCUUUGGAAAACAAUAUGCCUAGCCCAGCUACCCUAUGCAUAAGUGUCUCAUAUACAUAUAUCCACAUAGAUAUACAUAUUUACCAGCUUUCACGUGCUAAAUGGUUUCUAAGCUCCUGCCUGCCAAGGAGCUGGUUGAUCCAUGAGCAGGAUUCCUGUUGGAUGGCUGCGUGAUGUGUGCCAACAGCUCCCUCUGGGUUUUUUGUCUGAGAUUUACUUCAGUUGCAGAAAAAUCAGGGAAUGUCUUUGUUCCCAGAAGUACUCCUGGCAGCCGACCUUGGAUCACGACCCAUCAUCGCAGCCCAGUUGCACAGUCUCUAGACAGCAUCUCCUCGGGGCCAGCACAACCUGGGGUGAUGAGACAAGCUCUGUAAUGGAAACGAUUGUGCCUUUGUGUCUGGGCAGCCAGCAAGUGUCAUUCUUUGAAACACAGCGGCUAUUUCAGAAAGAGCAUCUCUAGCGGAGAUGCAGCAGUUUUCCAGGGCACCAUGGAGACAUCCAGUUGCAUAACCCUGACAGUCACUGGGAGACAGUCUGCUGGCAAGCAUUACUGAUACCCCCCGCUCCUGCUCAGCAUGAAGUCCCAAUGACCUCAGCCCUUGGCCGCCUUGUCCACCUCCAACAAGGAAUGUUAGAGAGAACAUCUCAGGAGCCCCUCCCAUAAGCUAUGAACCAAAGCCCUUAAUUUUACAGCUACUAAAAUAUACCAAAGUUCAACACAAUAGCUUUUCAAGUUGACUAACUGGUACGUGGGAGCCAAAAAGCAGGAGCCAUGUAGAUUUAUCAUGUCGUUAAAGGGAACUGGGGUGAGUGUUAGGCAGAGGAUGGAGAUCGCGAACCCAGAGCUGAGGGCAACAGCUUUAUGAUGAGUUUCACCAUCUGAAAGCCUGGUGUUGUGCACUGCAGCAACCAGCGUUGAGCUCGUCAGAUCUCAGAUUUGCAGCAGGCUGCUUUGCUUCUUUGUUCAUCAAAACAGGGAAGAAAUAGUGGAGCACUUUGGAAAAAUCCUGGAGAAUCUGGUAGAGAUGGAAUUGAGGGUGCUUAGGAACUUGCAGAGUCCAAGGCAGAAAUUACUGUAAAUACUUGUUGAAUUUAGUAAGUGUUUUUAUGCUUCCUGUUGGGUUAUUUUUAACACUCUUGUAGGAUUCCAUAGUGGGAUAUGAUUAUGCAUUAAAUUUUAAUGGUUGUUUUAAAAAUAAAAGCUGUCGAAUGCUAUCAUUUUCUAUUAGGUAAUACAGAGUGCCUCCAUUAGGAGUGUUUUUCUCCUUCCAAACAAAGCCUAGGCAGGCUCGAGCAACAGUCAUGAGCAAAAUAAUCCCAGCUUGGGGAAGAUAUUAAUAAAAUCCAGGCUGCAAAAUGUGCAGGAAGCUGCUCUAAUGUAUCCAUUUCCAAUUUCUGUUCACACAGGUGAACUCAAGAGCAAACCAAGGUUCACCACAUCCUAAUUGCAUUUGGGGGCACUGCUGAAAACUUCAACUUUGAGAUUUUCCUUAAGGAAUUCUCCUUGAUUCGUAUCUUCUUUUGUGAUCAAGGAAAAGUUUUCCUGCAAUUUGAAGAACCUGUAUACAUUUCAUGCCUUUUCUAAUCUAACCCCAUGUGGCACAGAUCAAAGGCCUUCAUGAAGUUCAGAGCAUGAAGCUCAGUAAUCUUGCAUCCUGAAUGAAUUAUCUGCCAGGAAGAGGUUUAAGUCUCAUGUGAAGGUAUCAUUGGCUUCUGUCAUCAUGUACGCUCCUUUGGCUGUAUGAUUAAUUGCUGUGAUUUCUGUAGGACUAACAUGGUCAUGUCUCAUUAGCUGUCUUUGGCCACCACACAUUCAUCAGUCAGGCAUCAUCAGAACACCUUUGGUUUUUAAGAUCGUACUAGGUUUUCACAGAUCAUGCCCAAAUUUUACUGGAGUGCUUGUGAAUUCUGGUUGAAUUCAAGCCCCACUGGGCAAGGGGAGAAAUGUUCUCUGCAAGCUCAAGAGCUGAGCAGGCCAAGAUGAAGAAAGAUUGGGGAGAAUGUGGUCAGCUGCAAAUAUCACGUGAGUGUUCCCAGUAUCUGGGGUCAUUAACUUUGGUUUGGCAGGAUUUCAGUAGGAGGAAAUUUGCUAGAGGAAGAUGAGAAGAUCACCAGACAAGGGUGCCACAUCACUGUGCUCAGGACAUGAUACGUCAGGAGCUGGACUUCUGCCCUGCAGGGCCUUCUCCAGUUUUGGCUGCAGAACACCUGAGCAGCCCCUUCCAGCUGUAUUUCUGGGCCAUGCACACAUGCCAUGGCCAUGCUGAAUGCACAACACUCAGCAGCAUGGCAGGGGCUGUGUCCCAAAGGCACAGGGCUGGACACCACCUCCAUCUUCAUCCCAAGAGGAGAGGACAUCCCAUGGGAGAGGGACCAGUGCAGAGAGCUCCCAGCAGGGUUUUGCAGCAGCCAGCUUACAGUGGCGUGGCAAUGUGAAUGUCUGCAAGGUGCAGAGCUUUUUGUGCUGUGGAUUCUGUCUCCUUUUAUUUCUUGUGUAGGCAGUAUUCCUCCUGACUCCAUUUAUUUAUCUAGAUCCAUUGUGUGCUUACUAAUAGAGACAGCAUGUUCUGGUUUUUUUAGCUUGAGAAGUUGAGAAGGAAAUUCUCAUGAAAUAUGUUACCAGUCUAAAUUAUCCCAUGACUUGCCUACGUUUCAAAUUAACUGGUGGAAUAUCAACAAACAUAAUGGCAAUUCUUUUCCAAUCCCAUCUCCUCCAGUCAGUCUUUAGCCCACUUAUCAGACACUUGUUAUUACAAAAAUAAUCAGGAGAGGAAAAUACACCAGUGCUGAAUCAACACUACCAUACUUCUUUUUUUUUCCCCUCUUUUUGAACUCGUCCAACUUGCUUGGAUUCUGUUGGCCAUGCACCAGCCUGAAACUGGAGAAACACAGCUGGCUAAAUCCAUCACAUCUUAUUACAGGUUAUCAAUUCUCCCCUGCAAUAAACACAUUUGACAAUUAGCAGGGAAUUGAUGAGUGAGCCAGUUUGAUUGCUGCUAUUUCUUUACUCCUUAGUACCUGACAGAGAGGUUUACAAUGCAACCUUAAUUUGUAGAAAAAGCAAGACGCUGGUAAAGCCAUUAGCGUUUCUUAUACCCAAAAUGACAAAUGGUCUUUACAUUAAUCUCGAAUCACUUCUUUAAAGCAAGGAUCAGGAAAGAAUUUUCCUCGAAAGGAUAUUGCUGCCCAGCUGGGGAGGUGCUCUAAUAGGGCUUUCUCACCUUCUGGGGGAUCGAUAGCAUGGGGCUGCCAGGCUGCAUUGCUGGGCUCCAUAAAGCCAUUGGUGUAAUUUGUUUUGAUGAACCUUCUGCUUCAAAUAAUAAUAAUAAUAAUAAUAAAAAUUGCAAACUCUGCAUAGACAGAAGACCAAACCACACCAUGACUCACAUCGUACAGUAAACCAUUUAGGAGCAAUACUGCAGUGAUUGAGAUUUAACUCAUUCCAUUCCAUAUCUCUCUGCAAUUAAUCCAAUAUUUGGCCAGCUGGCUUUUUUUGAAUUUCAGUUCUUCAUUUGGGAAAAGGAAAAAAUAAAUAAAUCAAAGCUCUGCCAAUGCCAAUCACUGUAGCAAAGCUCCACAAUGGUCUGAAAAUAAGGACUGUCAGGGACUUCGAGAAGGAACCUACUCUUCCCAUCUCUCUCAAGACCUCCCUGAUCCCCAGGAGCCUUUCUCUGUGGCUGGGCCUGACAUUAGCUCCCAACAGCUUUGAUCCCAUGAGGUUUAUUCAGACAGAGGCAUCAUCUUUUGUGUUUAAAAUGGGCAUGCAUCAGGAAAAACACAAGCUACCUUCAGUGUAGUCUCAGAAUACCAGACACCAGCUUUGAUCUCUUCAAUGUGCAGAUAAAAUGAGGCUGGUGAGAGAAUGAAAUCUCCUUCCUUUUCAUUUGCUAAGUACAUUAAUGUGUUCUUGAUCUCAAAAUGAUUCUCAUUUACUCACUGUAAUCACAGCGUUUUCAUUCUUCUCUUUGUUUGUAGGGCCUUUGCUGUUGGUUUUCUUUUGUAAUCAAGAGGUUUUUUUUCUGUUCUUGCAAGCUGAAUAUUUUCCUGCUAGCAAACUUGUCCUAACUGUGCUUUACAAGUGCAUUCUUUCCUUCAUCUCAUUUCCUCCCACCCUGAGCUGGGGCAGAGAUUUGCUCUGGCAGCAGAUAUGAAGGCUGCAGAUAAUGCCGAGGAAAGCAAAGACCACACGGAGUAGUGUUGGCCUGAGCAGCAGCAAGAAAGUGCCCCAUGCACAUCCAUUAGGGAGAGUUUUGUUUGGCAGACCUCCCAGCCUAAUAAUCAGUUUGGUUGUGGUUAGGGUUGGUUUUUUUUUUUUUUUUUUUUUUUUUUUUUUGGUCUUUACUGCCUAUUUGGAAGAACAGCAGCAUUGGUGUUCUGGUGACUUGCUGAUCGUUAUACAGUUGAGGAAAUAGUUAAACAUAAUGAGAGGUCAGACUACAACUGCUCCACACCACCUCCAUGGCCAUAAGGGUUGUGCCCCAACACAAGAUACAAGAUGCUGUAAGGUGUUUAUGGUGUUGCUGCUGGGGAGGAUGAGAAGUCCCUCCCUCUGUUAAUAAAGAACAAAUGCUGGAUACAGAGCAAUGUGCUGACUCUUCCUGAGACUUAGAGGUACAUCUCAAGCCAAACAUGAGAUGAUGAGCCUCAUGUUCUCGUGGUUAAUGAGUGUGUGCAGUCAUAGCCUAUGGUUGCUGCCCAUUAACUUUGCUCAGCACACAGUGAGAGAGAGGUUAGAAGCUGAAUACUUGGGUUUGCAUUUGGUCAUAGACGUAGAAAACACAACAAAAAGCAAAGUGGAGAUUUCCUACAGCUCAGCUGGUGCAUGGUAAGCUCGCUAAAUCUCAGUAACUUGACAUCUCUUCCUGGCAAUUGAAAUUCUGCUUUCCCUGGGCUGGCAGUGUUAAAGAGGAAAAUACAAUGGCACUUCGUGGUGCUUGUGAUGGUUCAUGGAAAAAUGUGCAUCCCAAUCAUAUGACCCAGGAGGUACAUAGGAUGUAACAGAGUGCGGUGGGUGAAAAGCAGAAGUUCCCAAAUUGAUCUGUGUUGGGAAAAUCGUCUGCAGGUUCCAAUAACUGUGUCAGCUGAAUCGCUUGGACUGCUUUCGUGUGCAGAACCGUGCAGGAAAUCCCAACAAAGCAGAAUUUCUCGUAAGACUCCUGGUGCAUCAGCCUGCAGACCGAGCCAGAAAGAAACCACAAAAAACAAUUGCUCUCCUUGCUGUGCAGCUACUACAAGUCCCAGGUGGAACCUGAAAAUGAAAUGUGUGCGUGUGUCAAAAGAUCGCCGGGCUUUCCAAAAUCCACUCUUUGAAUACAGUUGCAGAAACAAGCACAUGAUGUGGGUCAGAGGGUCACUCUGUGUUUUAUACAUUGUUCUCUCAUCAGCUCUGCUAGAACUGACCCAAUGACUCCAUUUAUGUAGGAAUAUUAUUUGAAGUUUCUUAUACGUCGCAGAUUUGGGCACCCAAGAUGGUGCAUCACUUUGGAACAUCUUUAAGGAAACUUCAGAGCUGUUAUAUGCUUUACUGAACAAUGAACCCUAUUUCUUCAUUGUUGUUCUGGGAUGAAUAUCUGCUGAACCAGAAGUGUAGAAACAGUGAGAAGAAAUUGGCUCUAAAAGGUCUUUAAAGCUAACUUAUAUUCAAGGAUUCAUCAAGGACCUGGUUUGUCCUACUCCUACCUUUCAGAGGAGCGUAACGAGGAAGUUAGGAGGCUGGCAACGGUAAUACAAGAGAUCCAUGUCCAAGUCCAAAUAUUUCUGGUGCAUUCUGAAUGGCCAGUGUAUACCCAAGACUUGAUCUCUGUUACGGGGUUGCCUGCCUAUAAAACACAGCACUUUUUCCUUAGGGAUGACUUGUGUCUUUUGCAGUUUAUGAAGUAUCCAAGUCCUUUGUAAACAAGAUUUAAGGAAGUCUAACCAUUUUCACCUUGCAGCAGAGUUUCACGGAGAGCAAAAGUAAGAACUCAAACACCAGAGGAAAAGUUAACAAGAGAAGAGAGCAUUUGGGGUUCAUUAGGAAGACAUUGGAUGAGAAGUUGGGAAGCAGCAGAAAAAUGCUAUAGGGUAAAAAGGAAUUCUUUGUGCCAAGGAUCUUGUCUUGUUGUCUUCAUCUGUAAAAUAUCCAGAAAUCUGCUGGCACAACAUGAAACAAGACAGAGGCUGAAAGCAAUAAGACUGCGCUGAAAUUUAAGUCCUGUUAAAUUCAUUUUUUCCAGGGUUUGCAAGAGCUGUUUCCCUUCCACCUGCUGACCAAACAGGAUAGCAGUAAAAUACUUCCUCUUACUGACUCACAAAUCUGUCGGACGUGAUGAGGCCCAAUGGGAGUUUGGUGAUGUCUUAAAUAGUGAUUUGCUUUUUGCCUCAUGGCAAACAGCACUCCCGGACUGGUAACACAAGCUGUGCUUCCAGGCUAUGGUUCACAGGGCUAUCCAAACAGACUCAAAGAGGUCUUGGUCUCCUCUGUUGCAUGAAGAUAGGUCUUGUUAUUAUAGUUCUGUUUGCUCACAAGUGAGAUUGUGCAGGGAUUUUUCCAUUUCAGCGUACUGCAGAUGAGGGGAGCAGGACAGCAACUUCUGCAGAUGGUCCAGAGCUGACCUGAAGCUGUACAAACCCUUCUUCAGGGCCUUUCCCAAAGAGCAAACCAUGGGUUUGUGUGGCCCAGCACAGAUCGUUCUAAUCUGUCCUGCAGUUCUCUCUGUCCCUGCAGCUAUUGCAGUUUGGAGAGCAUUUCUCCUGCAGCUGAUGGCCAGAAAACCAGGAGGCAGCUCACUGGAGUAAAUCUCCAUUGAAGUUUUUUGGUUUUAUUUCCCUGCCAUAGAGGCAAGACAACAACGGAACAUUAAAGUGAGUUAUUAUAUGCUAUGGGUUUCGGAAACAUCCCUGUGCUUCCUUCCUAGGUCAUGUACAGCCCUGUGGUUUCUGCAGGCUCCGCUCCUGCUCGGAUGCCGGUAGCUUUCCAUUCCCACCGCCUGGAGCCGCUUCUCCAAAGUCUGACUAAACGUGUGUGUGUGUAAGGGGAAAUGAUUAACUCUGACCAUCUAUAGAAUGAAAUUCUUCCUACUUAAAGGUACUCCUGACAAAGCUGACUGGGAAGAAUUGCUAUGGUGGUUUCAAAUAGAGCAUACUGCACUUUUUCCAAAAACUUCUUUGAUAUUUUUUGUGAAGAGUAAAGAGUGGUUUCUGCAAAGGAAUAUCUGCCAUCUCGCUGCAAAUAAUCAUUGGAUUAUGGUUUUAAUUCUAAAAACAUACAUACCCACAGUUGCCCCACUGAAAAUAAAAUCCUUUUUAUCAAUUGAAUAUGCUGGACCUGAAAACAAGGUGACAGUCCUUAACAACAAGGCUCAGACCAUUAAGUUUUUGUUCUCUUUUGUCUCAAAAAAGGUAUUCAGGACUCGGACAUUCAUGUAAAAUGUCCUCCUAGCUCUCCACCCCCACCGGAGAUUUUAAACAAACGUUAAAGAAGGAAAGGAAUAGCAUAAGCAAAUUUCAAGGGACAGGAUGAAUUACAACCCAUCUGUAGUUUUUUUCCCAUUCUGCUGACAAUCUACACUGAACUCUGUCUGCGUUGUUGUGCAGAAAUGUGCCGGUGGAUUCUUGCUGAAGUUAUCCAUAGUCAUCUGAGCAGCCCAUAGGGCACUGCUGUCACAGUGACUGCCUCCAAGGCCACAGCAAAGCAGCCCUGUGCCAGUGGGGCCAAAGCUGUAGCAAAAACUAAACCCCAGAUGCUGGCUUUUCCUUUUCCUGAGUCACUGCUGUGCCCAUGCCAUCACCCUGCAGCUCUCUACAGGUGCCUGGGGAAUAUUCAGGGAAGGGCACAACACCAGUUGAACAAGAUGCUUUCCCAGUUUUGCCCCAUUGGAUGCACUGCAAGUCACCCCAGAGCCUUGAGUGAUGCCAUUCCGAGGCACAUGCAGAGCAAGUCCCUUUCUUCCUGUAAACAGAAAGAGAUGUUUUCAGUUUACAUGCUUCCAGUUUACAUUGCAUGGAAGGCUUAUGUAAGUAACAGGGGAAAAGAAAAAAACUUAAUGAAUUCAUAACAGCCCGGCUAGGCACGGCCUCCAGAGCUAAACCUGUCAGGAUCUGGCCCAAGGAGGAUGCUCACUGGGAGACCUGACAAGCAAGACUGCGGAACUACAAGGAUUUAUUGUACACCAAAAUAAUUCCUAUGCUCACUGAGCAAAGCUGCUGCCACAGAGUAACUGCUUUCAAAAGUAUUUUCCAUCAUGAUCUCCAAGUCCCUUUUCUUGCCCAGAUUCCAUCACAACAAACAGCCCAAGGAUUUAUAUGCCUCUCGCUUACCUUGUGAUGACAGCCUGACACACGGGUUGCACAGAGGGAGGAGAGGAAGGGUUCAGCUCUCCUGUGCCCAAGCCAGGCUGAGGGCUGAGGGCAGAGGUCCUGGAAUGGGGCUUGCUGCUGUCCUGGGUCUGCUGGCUCUGCUCUAAGAGCAGAGAAAGGUGAGAAAUAUCAACACCAAACUACCUAGAUCUUUUUCAAGCACAAUAGGAAGCACUUGAAGAAGUGUCACAUCACUCACUUGUAGCAAAUGGUAAACUUACGCACUUUAGAAAGAGAAGAUGUAGGGUAAUGAUGGGGACGUUUGAGGUCCUCAUUCUGUUUUCAUGUGCAUAUGCCCAAAACAGACAAAAUAUCAUCUCCAGAUAAAAGAGAGAUUUGUUGUCUCAGCAGUUCCUGAUCUGCUGCUCAGUGGUAGAAGCAGCUUAGCCAAAACCAUCACCAUCUUGCUGAUGUGCAUACUUACAGACAAAGAGAGAAUUCAUCUUACACAGCUCCAAGGUGUCCAAGUGUUGGCUGAUGAAUCCUGGGCUUGUGCAUGGCCUUCCUUUAUUUUUUGUGAAGAACAACAGGCACCUCCAGAAUUUCCUUCUGACCAACAGUACAUAAGGAUGAGACCAAACUGCACCUUCAACUCUAUGAUUGUUUUGGUUCCCUUCCAACUUGGGAUGUUCUAUGAUUCCAAUGGGCUGCAAAGGGCUGCUGGGUAAUGAGCCAGACUGUGUCAGCACCGUAUCUGCAGGAGUAUAGUAAUAAUGCAAGAAAAUUGUAUUAAUUGUAUUGUCAUAGCAAUCGAAAUUCCCAAAUAGCAUCUCUGUGCCACAGCCCAUCCAUGUAUCUCCUCCUGCUGAUAAAGACAGCAUGGAAAUGAGAGGAGGGACUAUCAAGAAAGGUGUCUGUGAUAAGCAGCACUCAAAAAUUGCAAAUGCAAUAGAAAGAGAAAGACGUGGCUGUACUAAAGAUCAGGGGAUAAAUGACAGUGGGUGUAGUGAGUGCUGAAGACUGUGGAAGAUACAAAGGCACAAAAAGAAAAGCAGAGAGCCUGCCUCGUGCUGGGAUCUCAGCUCACCCCACUGCACGGAGGAGCAGGUGCAGAGGAAGAUGUGGGGCAAACAGGGUGGUGGAGAAGAAUCAGAAAUAGCUUUGUUUAGGCUCGGAAAAGGAGGGAAAGGCUUGGAAAAGGAUUGCUUUCUAUAAAUAACCGAUGUAACCCCUCAGGGAAGGGAGAUAGUUAUUUAAGCUGAAGGACAAUGUUGGCCUGGAAUCAAACUGGUUGUGAGUAAAUAGAGGGGGGAAACAUGAAGCAGGUUUCUGAGCAUCACAGGAAAGAUGUUCUGAAACAACUUUCCAGGCGCAGCAGGAACCUGAGCGCUUCUAAAUCCGCUGGAGCAGGAAAUGGAUCUCCGUGCCAAGAUAUCUUUGCCAAUGGCAAAUUUUACCCUGCCUCAGAAAAUCAGACUGGAUGAAAUCCUGAGAGAUAGCUGAUAGCUUGAUAGCUUGACCGAAGACAGGUCUGCUCCUUCUGAUGGGAAGAGGGCUGUGCCCUGUAAAUAGCCACAUGUGACAUCCGAUGGCUUCUUUGUCCUUCGCUGUCCCAGUUAUUGCAGCAUUUUGUUGUUAGGACAGGCAUUUUUCCCCUUUAUCUUCCCUCUAUGUCCCUUUCCAUUGCUGGGCUGCUGGCAGCUGAUGGACCACUGUGGGACGGGUGGGAUGCUGGGGCCUGGGAAACAAAUGCCUGGAGAAACCUUGGUCAACAAAGUCUAUGGAAACAAAACAAAAACAAGACCAGUAACACUGUUUUGAACGUUGCUGUUUAGUAAACGUGGAAACUGAGGAAACUGGGCUCUACGUUCCUUUCCUUUGAUUAGCCUUUUUUUACAGGACAGUCUACAGAGGAAUUGGUGAUACAGGAAAAGGCCACAUUCCCACAAAAACUGCAGUGCACACAUUCCAGCAGCAGAGCACAAGGAUGGCCCAGGGUGGUCUCUCACUGGGGACCUGCGGGAUGGCAUUAGCCUCGUGCAAUCUUCUCGCUUAGCUCUACACCUAGAAACAAACAGAAAAUGCAGCCCAGUUUGAACGGAAUUGCAGUUACAGUUUCACCCAACUUUUUCUCGUUUUUUGUUUUUCUCGUUAUAUCUGAGGUAAAUUGUGCAAGACAGGUACUCACAUUUUCAGUGGUUAUUAGGUUGGUCGAAGGCUUUUCCUUGUUGUAUAGAAGAGAUUUCUACCACUUGGGCCCAAAGCGAAUAAGCAAC
ensembl:lncRNA